UCCCUGGUGGCAUAGAGGGCAAAGCAAUUGCCUGCAAUGCAGGAGACCCAGGUUCGAUCCCUGGGUUGGGAA
rnacentral:tRNA from 1 species